AGAUGUUUAUAUUGCAAAUCACCUUGAAAGAUAUAGUGACUCCAUCCAGAGCAAAGCACAGGCAUGCUUCCUGACUAUUAUGAGAGAGUCCAGUUUCCAAACCUCAGAGUUUCUUACCUAUAACAAACCCACCUCCUGCAUUGGUCUCAUCUGGCCAGCUCUGUUGGACUGCAGUGGCUGGAGCGCCACAGGACUUUAUUUUAGGGGAAAGUCUGAAAGGACAGCAGCUACUUGGGGGCACAGUCACAUGUCUAAUUGUCUACUAGGUAUCUCCAGCUGAGGCAGGAUUUGGGUCUGGAGGCGGAGAACAUAAGGCCAAUUCACGCUGACUUCUUAGAACUAAAUCAAAUGGAAACACGUCACCUAUGACAGGAAAUAUCCUCUCCAUUUACAUAUGGCGUACACCAACCUUUGCCAGAGAUUGCUGGGUCUGUCCGCACCCUGGCCGAGCGACGGAUGAAAGGAGUACUCAAACACAGGUAUCCAGUGAAAGAGCAGUUAAGGGACUGCCCGGCAGUAGGUGGCUGAAGAGUCAGCAGUCUCAAUAAGCUGGAGCUCUUUGCUUUUAUU